rnacentral:tRNA from 1 species
GGGAGCGGAUGAGUCCCGGUGGGCUUCGCGGACUUCAAAUCCGUUGGGGGGCGUUAGUAGCGUCUUCGGUGGGUUCGACUCCCAUACGCUCCCGCCA